CUCCCCAGCUCCAACACUGCUCUAAUUAAAGUGAUUAUGACAUUUCAGGACUCCCCUUUUCUUUAUGCAUGCUACCUAGGACUCCCCUUUUCUUUAUGCAUGCUACCUAGAUAAUACAUCUUAAUUUAACAUUGAUUAUUAGUGCUGAUAUUACAGCGCCCGCUGAAUUUCCAUUAGCCUUUGAUGGUGACAGAUAUUAGACCUCUGCACCACCUUACGCAACACUGUGUAACCGAGCUCUGCCUCCAGCUUUUCCAGAUAAUAAAACCCAGGUGAAAUCCUCCCCCAUGCAUCAGUAGAUCCUGCCUGUGCCAUGAAGCGGGGUCCCGCGGGUCGGGGCAGAGAGGCGGAGCGGGCAGGAGCAUCCCGGGCGGAGCGGUGCCCGCAUCCCGGGCGGAGCGGGCAGGAGCAUCCCGGGCGGGCAGAGGCGAGCCCCGCUCGGGCACGCAGCCUGACACCCUGCCUUCCUGCCGAGGGACAGGAGCCUGCCGCUGGCCAAGCGUCUGCCGAGGUUUAUGCCGCCGGCAGAGCGUGCAUGACAGCUUUAUUAAUGCCGAGCGUUUUGGGCUUGGUUCACCUCCGCGUUCCCGCAUGGCCGUGCCAAGGUAGCGCCGCACAAAGGGCAGUUAUAAUAUUGUGGCACAGUACUUUAUUUAAAGAAAAUAUCCAGCAUGACAUUAAGGGUAAGUUUUCAAGCAGAAAAAGCUGUGCCAUGCAUUCUACUUGAGACUCCCUGGUAUGAACAGUUUCCACUUCUUUGCUCUUAAUCAGUCUCUUAGUUCAUUUGCAUGAGUGCUUGUUACCAAAUGUCCUAUUUAGAAACUUCAUGAUAGAAUCAAUUAUUUAAAUUUAAAACUAUGUUUUUUUGAAUUGACAGUUGUCUCAGAUCCAUAUUCUUAACACCCUUCUUGCAUCCUUAAUACUUUUCCUGCAAGGUGAUGAAAUGUCAAAUACAAUACCUAUACAGAAAUGGAAAGCACAAAAAAAGUUUCCAUAUUAAGGUAGAAGAACAAAGUGUAUUUACCAGAAAAAAUACUUCACAGUUUUGUCAGAAACUGCAUGCUGCAGUUCCUCUCCUACCCUCUCUAAAGUUUUGAACAACCAGAACUGUGUGGUUUUUAGCAUUUUAAAGUAAAUUUCCAAAUAAUUAAAUUUGUUUUUUAAGGAAUCUAGUCUCCCUGUAUGUUUCCAUGUUUGAAAUGGCUAAUGGGAAUCUUCUAUUAUGGUCUACUUUAUUACUUAUACAGCACUAUAAUUGUAUGUGAUGUUCACAGACUAAGGAAACAGAGAAGAAGCUUUCAACCUAAGGAGAGAAUCUUUUUGACUUUACAUCUUGUCUCAGCAACAUCACUUCAGUAGGCAGUCAGAGGGAGAACAGUUCUUUCAGUUUCUGUGGGGAAAAUUAUCUUGGGCCAUUCAACUACGAGUAAAGGCUCUUCCCCCAUUGUUGUUGGAUGAACUCUGCAGGCUGCCAAUUUGUGGGUAGCAUCAGUAUGCACAACCCAUUUGUUCUCUUCAUCUAACUGCACAAAAGGAAAGGGUAACUUUUGAUGUCUUAUUGUCAUAAUGAAGUAUACAUAAACUAAGGUUUUUAUGUCCCAUUGUUUCUCCCCACCCACAUUUGUCUAAGAAAAAAAUUGCUAUAAUCUUGAUCUAAUUCACUUAAUUGUUGAUUAUUUAGAACUUCUGGAAUUCUUUAAAGAAUGGAAUUCUAUUUUCAUCUUCCCAAUACAAGGCCCAAGCAUAAAAAUAUCUUUUCAAUCUCAGACAAUAAAUUAUUCAUGAUGCCCCA
rnacentral:lncRNA from 1 species